AGUAUGAAUGGCACCACGAGGAUAAAACUGUCUCCUUUCCACAAUCAGUGAAACUAAUCUCCUAGUGAAGAAGCAAGGAUAUUACUGUAAGACGAAAAGACCCUAUGGAGCUUAAAACAAAUAACUAAUGCUUCACCCCCCCACCCAGCACUGUAGUUACUAAUUUUUGGUUGGGGUGACCACGGAGAAAAAUUCAUCCUCCACGACGAAUUCUUUAAACAAGCCACAGCUUUAUCUAGCAAUAAAUUGGCGCACUGACCCAAUAACUUGAUCAGCGAACUAAGUUACCCUAGGGAUAACAGCGCAAUCCGCCUCGAGAGCUCUUAUUAACAGGCGG
rnacentral:rRNA from 1 species